rnacentral:rRNA from 1 species
CACGUAGGGGGCAAGCGUUGUCCGGAUUUAUUGGGCGUAAAGAGCGCGCAGGCGGUCGUUCAAGUCGCGUGUGAAAGCCCCCGGCUCAACUGGGGAGGGUCACGCGAUACUGAUCGACUCGAAGGCAGGAGAGGGUAGUGGAAUUCCCGGUGUAGUGGUGAAAUGCGUAGAUAUCGGGAGGAACACCAGUGGCGAAGGCGACUACCUGGCCUGUUUCUUGACGCUGAGGCGCGAAAGCUAGGGGAGCAAACGGG